AUCGAUAUGUAAAUAAAGGUUUGGCUUAUUUUUUAACGGAUCUGACAUAAUUAUCUUGCCAAGUAUUCAUUUGAUACUCGGCUGCAAUAGAAACAAUGUACUUUUGAUUCUAGCUUUCAAUUUGUCACUUUUAAGAUAAUCCUCAAAACUUUUUUUUUCAGAUACUUAACCCUUCAGCUUCACCAAAAAACUACUACUUUGAGGAUUUCUAAGCGCCUCUGGAUUUUGUUAUCAAUCGUGUUGAGCACUAAGUGAACAGAUACAUACAUAAAUAGUUUAGAGGCUACAGUUAUGUAUAUGUACCACAACAGGCACUACCAACAGUAACAGUAGCACUAGCAACCAUACCCACACCUUAGAUUUGUCGCUGGCUGGAAGGACCACAAUUAUCGCACCAUCUCAUUUUCGUUCUGUUACUUCUAAUACUUCCCUCGCAUUAAUUUGGUUUUUUCCGUGUUUCCCUUAGUGUUUUUACGCAUUUUUUGUUUUCAUCAGCAGAUUCGCAAUUUUGGGCACCAUUGAUAGCAACAGCUGAUGGCGGUAAUGAAGUGACGGAAAAGGAUGCUGGUGAUGUUAAUGAGCCAUACUUGAAGAAAUGAUUGCAGCUGUGGGUAGUGAAGCUGACCGCAGUCGCUUUCCAGAAGGAGUUGCUUUUACCUUUCCAAUGCAUUGUAACAA